rnacentral:rRNA from 1 species
CAGUAGCCGCGGUAAAACGUAGGUGGCAAGCGUUGUCCGGAAUUAUUGGGCGUAAAGGGCUCGCAGGCGGUUUCUUAAGUCUGAUGUGAAAGCCCCCGGCUCAACCGGGGAGGGUCAUUGGAAACUGGGAAACUUGAGUGCAGAAGAGGAGAGUGGAAUUCCUCGUGUAGCGGUGAAAUGCGUAGAGAUGUGGAGGAACACCAGUGGCGAAGGCGACUCUCUGGUCUGUAACUGACGCUGAGGAGCGAAAGCGUGGGGAGCGAACAGGAUUAGAUACCCCAGUAGUCCCUGUCUCUUAUAC